CCUAUUGUUACUUCCUGUUUUAUGGAUAAUAAACUGAGGCACAGAGAGGUUAAGACUAGCUCAUGGUCAAUCAGCUAGUAAAACAGCUGUCUAGGAUUUGUAAGGAGAGAUACCCAGUCCUUAAUGCAAAUGCAUCUAUGAGGAUUAAUGUCCAUCCUGACGAUCCUAUGUCUAUCUGAAUGGUGUUCUCAAAUGCGCUUAUGAUCAGGAAGGAUAGGUGCUAUGACCCUUGAUACCCAGAGUGGGACCAAAACAGCCACCCAGUAGCAGAUAAGCAGGUAAUCCUAACAUCUUUUGGCGAGGUUCUUGGAAUGUGGAUGUCUCCAGCCGUUCCUGAGUGAUGAAAUUUCAGUCUAAUUGGGUUUUGAAAAUAUCAUUGCAGCUAACCCUUUGCCUUUACUCUCCUUUAGAAUCCUGUUCCUUUGGCCCCAAAUGAACCCAGAGCCUUUUGUGUCCAGUGAAAGCUUGGACAGCAGAACCUUUGAAAUACUUAAACCAUUUGAAGUAGGGCCUCAAGUCAAGUUGUUGCUGUAAAAACACAAAUUCUAAGACCUAGGAGGUUCUAAGGGGAAAAAAAAGACAGGGUUUCCUUUGCUGGUAGAGAUGCUCAUAAAAGCAAAGUCAGCACCUCUCUGUCCAGGGCCAAAGGAGAAAAAAAUGUGUGUGAAGGGUAACAGAAGCGAUGUAGUGACAGGUCAUAGGAUUUAUGUCACUCGGGCCUGGGACUUACCUGAGAGGCAGAGGUUUGCUUAAAAGCAGGGUUAAUGGGAGAAUCACUGAACUUUGAACUAGGAAAAUAAAGCCUUCAAAAUCAUCCAGUCUAAUAAUUUUAGAAGAAAGGAGGCCUAGAGAGUGACGGGGCUUCCUGAAGUUCACCUGUCUGAAGAGUGACAGUGGCAGAGCCAGAGGCGGUGGCCGGGCCUCAGUUUCAGUCCACUGCUAGCAGCUCUACCCCACCUGGCUGAGGCUUGGGGAAGCAUGUGAACAGGUAAGGAGGAAAGUGCAAAGCAUCUUCAGGUCCAGUAUGAACAGAGCAGUGCAGCUACAGAAGAAGGCUUGUGUGGAAGAAAAGUGCCCCAGAAGGUUGGAAAGGUAGGCGAUUUGAAGCCCUGAUCGGGCUUGGGCUAGAGCCCCAAGGUAAUGCGGAAUCUGGGAGAUGCAUGUUUGAGGAAGGGGCAAGGUGAAAACGGGGAUGGAGCGAUAUCAAUGUAGUGGUGGUGUGCAGGCUGCAUGUGAGGAGGGAUAUCUUAAGGCAGGAAAGCCAGUGAGCACACUAUUGGGGAAGGCGUGUGCUAGAAGUCUUGGGUUUUUAUAUUUUAUUUCCUGAUGACGCAUGUAUGAGUGUGUGUGUGUGUGUGAGAGAGAGAGAGCAAGAGAGAAAGGAGGAGACAGAGAUUGAGAGAGAUCAGCCUGAUGCUCAGCUAGAAUUCAGAUUUGUUGGGACUUGUCUGAUGAACAGGUUGUGCUACCUUCCAGAAGCAUGGCUUUAAAAUCCUUCAGGAAUUUCCAGACGGUCCAUUUCCAUCCUCUCCUGCCCACCCGCGUGCCUCAGCUGAAGUGAGUCUGCUUACCCCGGGCACUGAUAUGGACAAAGAGACCUAUUGAUGCAUCUCCAGGCUGUGGUGUGAGGUGGUGGAGCAGUGGCAGGAGCAGAUUUCUUCAAGAGCAGACUGAGACAUUGCUGGAGACUCCUUGUGGAAAGAGGCAAGAGCCAAAGGAACUCAGAAACUUGAGCUGUACUUGACCUUGAGUAAGUUACUUCUCUGAGCCUUGGUUUUCACAUCUGUAGAAUGACAAUAACAAUCCCUGUGUUCCUCACAGCCAAGAUCCUAUGAUGUCCUUUCUAAAUUGAGAACUGGGUCACAAGUGUCAAGAAUAGGCUCUUAUAGGUAGACUGUAUUUAGUCUCCCAUCUCGGACUGUGAGGACCUUGAAAUCAGGGCCCAUAUCAUGUUUCUAUUUCGACAUGAGCACAGUUUAUUGGAUGGAAUUAUGGUGCUGUUGGCCUGUGUCUGGUUGGCGUGUUUGUGGUAUGGAUUCACUCUACAUUCACUGCAUGUUUAUUUCACACAUGCUCUCCUUCAGGUCAAAUCUGGAGAAAGUGGGUGAUGGACCAGUACCACCCCAACUUCAUCACAUCCCAGAAAACCCAAGCCAAAAGCCCUUUAAUAACAUAUUGAUUGCUUAGAUUCAUUUUCCAAGAUAUUUUUUGAAAUAUCUAACACAAUUCUUUUUGCUUUUACUUUUGCUGUGACUCAAAUUCUUAUUCCUGAAAGAGUUUUCUUGCUUCCCCCCUUAUUCUUCCAAUAAUGUCAUUUUCAUCUUCGCUUGCCUCUAGGUUUUUAGUGUGCCCUGUGAAGUGUAUUCACUUGCUCAGACGGGUGUGGAGGAAGCGUAGGCCAGGAAACCCCAGCAACCUCCAGCUAAUGCACGGGAGGCUUCAGUUUGGUGAUUACUACAAUUGUUGCCUAGUGGAACCGUGAGCCAUUAGCUGGGUUCUCACCCCUCUAUUAGUAUCACCCUGUAAUUUAAUCACAAUUAGACUCCCAGAAACAUAGGCAUCAGAAACAAGUGGGCAAAGGAGGCAGAUGGCAGAAAGCAACAGCAGUCAGGGGUUUUAAUCAAAGGCAGUGUUUUCAGAAGGUGCAGGGCCAAGAAGGAGGGAGAUCGGAGCUUGGAACAGGGUAAUUGGGCAAUUGAUUAGGGGACUUCAAGUUUUACUUUCUGGCAUUGAGGCUGGGGUCUGCCAGACGUUAAUCUCAUGGGCUGGUUGAGCCAGGCUUAUUUAAUAGCAUUAGGGAUUGAAAGAGGUCUUGAGAGGUGACUCCACAUUCCCUUCACCUUCUCUCCUUGGGAUCUGUGGGAGGAAGGCCUCAGAGAACAUUCUCAGAAGAGGUUUUUCUUUGUCUCACCUGGCUUCCUCCCCUCAGGCCCCAAAGUGAGCCCUUGAGUAUGUGUUGGAAUCAACCUCCUUUCUGAGGGCUCACAGAAGCUUCAGGCCUGGAGAUGACCGUUCCACUGGCUCUGUGUCCUACUGAGACGUCCAGGAUCCAACCCUUCUACAAAUCCACUAAUGUAUUUAAUAACUGCACACCCUCACCGGUAUUAGGAGAAGUUUCUGGCACUCCAGAAGAUUCUUGAAGCCCCAGGCUCCUUUUCCGAAAGCCAAAGGCAAGACCUAGGUACAUAGGAAAUAGGACUUCUCCUUCCUCUGACUCUCUCAGCAUCAAAUUCUCCACAUCUCAUAGUAAGUUUGUGAUCCCAAGCUGGGGGCUUUCCAGAACAGUGGCAGUUUUAAAUAUUUUAUCCUCAUAAGUACUUGUGAGGCCAUAUGCCCCGAUUUUGUUAUGGAAAAAACCCGUAAGUACGUACAAUCCUAGCUCAGAGCAUUUCCUGUCCGGCUGAGUCUACAUAAAUCUCGCCCUUCCCUGGCACCAAGGCAUAGAGGCAUUUGGAAGAUUUGUUGGAAUCCCAGCUAAGGAAAAGGUCGGUGUAGGAGCGGAGGAUAGGUGACCUCUUGCGUUUUGAAGCUUGAUUCUGAAGGCUUCCAAAAACUUAGGCAAAAACCCAUUCUCCUGAUGGACAGAGAUUCAGACUUGUUUCUACCUUUAGGCCUCAAAUGUGGCUAUAUGGCUUCAGCUUUUCAGAAUUCUCUCUCCCCCUAGCUCCCUGAUAAAAACCCCUUUAACAGGAAACAGAGCCUUUUACUCUACAGUGACAGAUGAGAGUUAACUGGCCUCUUCCUCCUGGGGCACUGUUUUUUAUACUGGAGAUCUGAACCCACUCUUGGGUCAUGAAAACAAUUUAGUGGGUCCUGACCUUUGGUGAAAUUUCAAAACUAUAUAUACAUACAUAUACAUAUGUCCUCCCACGGGGAGGAGCCUGACCAAGGGAGUGAGAAAAACAGUGUGAGAAGGAGAGAGGAAAGGGCCUGUGCAAAAGCCCACUCGCCACCACCUCCAAAAUAGCAUCACAAUGCUCAGAGUGCCAACAGUACACCAGGCACUCUGCCAAGUGCCUUAAAUGAGUUAGUCCUUUCAAGUCUCACCACACCCCAUGAGGAAGAUGAAUACUAUUAUUACUGUCCCCAUUUUAUAGAUGAGCAAACUGAGGCUAAGGAGAUUAAAUAACUUGCCUGAGGUCACACAGCUUGUACAUUGCCUGACACAAAUGGUCUCACACGCAGGUGUGCCCGAUUUUUCAGCCCAUGCUGUCAUGCAAUCACAGUAACCAGUUCCUCUUUGGCCUAAGGAACAGGGUUUGGUGUUGGCCCAGUAUCAAGGAUCAAGGUUGGCCAGCCAUGGGCCUUGCCUGUGGGCAUAGGGCAGGCAGGGCCAGGAAGCGAAGGAGCCCAGGUUUUGGAGGCCAGGAUCAGGGGCUGGUGGCUGCGAGGGUGGCAGCCCUCCCCCAGCCCUGCUCCUGCUUGCUGCAGGCUGCAGCUUUGCCAGCGCAGAAUGCGCUGCUAAUUAUAACCAAACAAUGAGCAAUCACAGCCCGCUGGCGGUUUAGCUCUCGUUAGAGGUCUGGCAGGCUUUUCAUUAGAACUUCCCUGCCGCCUGAAGGCGGCGGCAGGAGCUCUGGGCUCCAGCUCCCUCCUCCCCAUCCUGCUCCUUCUCCUCUAAGCCUAGUCCACCCAAUUGAGUCAGGUGCUUAGCUCCUCCGGUGUGCAGGGUCUGUGUUCAGUGCUGCAGGGGGGGACACACAAACCUCUCUCCUCUCUGCCAGGCUCAAAUGGGCUGGCUUUUUAAAUUCUAAUCAAGAGACUGCUGGAGGAUGGGGCGAGCUCACUGGGCC
rnacentral:lncRNA from 1 species